AGGGGAGGAGCCAAGAUGGCUGAAUAGGAACAGCUCCGGUCUACAGCUCCCAGCGUGAGCGACGCAGAAGACGGGUGAUUUCUGCAUUUCCAUCUGAGGUGCAAAGAGGUUGCAAUUGGUGAGUUCUGUUUGCAAAAGACCAACCACCUGGAAAUGCAAGCGUGGAAGCCAUGAGAGUGCCAAAAAAUGUGGAAGAUGGAGGCAGAGAGAACCAGACUUGAAUCCUGGCCCCACCUCUCACCCACACUCCCUGAACCUCAAGUUUUGCAUCUAUAAAACUGUGGUGAUAAUAAAACCUAC
rnacentral:lncRNA from 1 species